rnacentral:rRNA from 1 species
GCUACCAUGCAGUCGUACGAGAAAUCCUGGGCAACUGGGAGAGUAAAGUGGCGCACGGGUGACUAUCGCGUGGGUAACCUGCCCUUGAAUUGGGGAUAACUUUCCGAAAGGAAGGUUAAUACCGAAUAACAUUCCGAUCUCCUCGGGGGUUGGAAUCAAAGGUAGCCUCUGCAUGCAAGCUACUGUUUAAGGAUGGGCCCGCGUACCAUUAGCUUGUUGGUAGGGUAACGGCCUACCAAGGCUACGAUGGUUAGCUGGUCCGAGAGGAUGGCCAGCCACACUGGAACUGAGACACGGUCCAGACUCCUACGGGAGGCAGCAGUGGGGAAUCUUGCGCAAUGGGGGAAACCCUGACGCAGCAACGCCGCGUGGGUGAUGAAGGCCUUCGGGUCGUAAAGCCCUGUCAGGUGGGACGAACCGUAUCGGUACAAACAGUGCCGAUGCUUGACGGUACCACCGGAGGAAGCACCGGCUAACUCCGUGCCAGCAGCCGCGGUAAUACGGAGGGUGCAAACGUUGUUCGGAAUUACUGGGCGUAAAGCGCGUGUAGGCGGUUGAGCGGGUCAGAUGUGAAAGCCUUCCGCUUAACGGAAGAAGUGCAUUUGAAACUACUCAACUGGAGUUCGGGAGAGGAGAGUGGAAUUCCCGGUGUAGAGGUGAAAUUCGUAGAUAUCGGGAGGAACACCGGUGGCGAAGGCGGCUCUCUGGCCCGAUACUGACGCUGA